AUUGAACGCUGGCGGCAUGCCUUACACAUGCAAGUCGAACGGCAGCACGGGUGCUUGCACCUGGUGGCGAGUGGCGAACGGGUGAGUAAUACAUCGGAACAUGUCCUGUAGUGGGGGAUAGCCCGGCGAAAGCCGGAUUAAUACCGCAUACGAUCUACGGAUGAAAGCGGGGGACCUUCGGGCCUCGCGCUAUAGGGUUGGCCGAUAGCUGAUUAGCUAGUUGGUGGGGUAAAGGCCUACCAAGGCGACGAUCAGUAGCUGGUCUGAGAGGACGACCAGCGCCACUGGGAGUGAGACACGGCCCAGACUCCUACGGGAGGCAGAAGUGGGGAAUUUUGGACAAUGGGCGAAAGCCUGAUCCAGCAAUGCCGCGUGUGUGAAGAAGGCCUUCGGGUUGUAAAGCACUUUUGUCCGGAAAGAAAUCCUUGGCUCUAAUACAGUCGGGGGAUGACGGUACCGGAAGAAUAAGCACCGGCUAACUACGUG
rnacentral:rRNA from 1 species